rnacentral:tRNA from 2 species
GGACUCGUACUUCAAUUGGCAGAAGAUCCGGCUCAUAACCGGGAAGUUAUAGGUUCGAGUCCUAUCGGGUCUA